GAAAAAGUGGACUUUUAACCUCUAAAUCGGUAUAAAUGUCUAUCUGACAUCCAGAAUUCAUCUACGAUCGCUAUAAAAUUAUGCCUCUCGUCUGUAUUUGGAUUAAACACGUUGGAAAAGUAACAAUUCCAGAUGAUCCAGAAUGUUCCUGGACGGUGAGAUGCGGUAGAAAGUGAAAAAGUGGACUUUUAACCUCUAAAUCGGUAUAAAUGUCUAUCUGACAUCCAGAAUUCAUCUACGAUCGCUAUGAAAUUAUGCCUCUCGUCUGUAUUUGGAUUAAACACGUUGGAAAAGUAACAAUUCCAGAUGAUCCAGAAUGUUCCUGGAAGGUGAGAUGCGGUAGAAUGUGAAAAAAUUGACAUUUGACCACUAAAUCGACAUAAAUAUUCGAUCGACAUUUCCUCGUUUAACAGUUUGAAAAAAAAAACACCAAUUUCUUCAUUUUCCUAUUUAUUUCCCUAAGAUCAUCACAUUAUUAUAACUAAAAAAAGACUAUUUACAAGCCGAUCCGUCUCUACCACAAAUGAUGCCCCAACGCGAUGGGAGCAAUCUUGGGAGCAUAACUGAUAAUGGGAGCGUGAGCGGCAUAAAUGGGCGCGGCGGCUUUGAUUAUGGGAGCGUGCAGGAUCGGUUUCGCUCCGAUAAUAUGCGGUCCGAUUCCCUUAGUUAUUAACGGUCCGGUGAUAAUGGGAGCGCCGUAACUCCUCACCAGGGGCACAGGGGGUGCUUCGAACACUUUGGUCACCACUGGACCCCCAUGGAUUAUGGGGGUGGCGUAGCUCUUGUCGUAUAAUGGGGCGGCAUGGACGAGGGCGGGCGCGUGCUCCAGUUCCAGGAGUCCACGUUUUUGUUUUUCUGCCGGUUGGGCUGUGGCGAGGGCUAUUAAAGCACUCAAAACGAU